CCUACGGGAGGCAGCAGUGAGGAAUAUUGGUCAAUGGGCGCGAGCCUGAACCAGCCAAGUAGCGUGAAGGAUGACUGCCCUACGGGUUGUAAACUUCUUUUAUAAAGGAAUACAGUGAGGAACGUGUGCCUUUCUGUAUGUACUUUAUGAAUAAGGAUCGGCUAACUCCGUGUACGUAGCCGCGGCAAUACGGAGGGUCCGAGCGUUAUCCGGAUUUGUUGGGUUUAAAGGGAGCGUAGAUGGGUUGGUAAGUCCGUUGUGAAAGUGUGCGGCUCAAACGUAAAAUUGCAUUUGAUACUGGCAGUCUUGAGUACAGUUGAGGUAGGCGGAAUUCGAUGUGUAGCGGUGAAAUGCUUAGAUAUCACGAAGAACUCCGAUGGCGAAGGCAGCUUACUAAUCUGCCACUGACAUUGAGGCUCGAAAGUGUGGGUAUCGAACAGGAUUAGAUACCCCAGUAGUC
rnacentral:rRNA from 1 species